CAUAGACAGUGGCUUGGUUGAGGGAACCUAUCGGAGCUGUAGCGAAAGCGGGUCUUCAUUGGGCAAUUAUCACUACUUAUGAACUUGAACCUAGGAGAUCUAUAUAUGACCAGAAUGAAGAUUGAGUAAAACUAAGUAGAGGUCCGAAUCGACUGAUGUUGAAGAAUCAACGGAUGAGCUAUGUUUAGUGGUGGAAUGUCACUCGAAUCUAGAGCUAGCUGG
rnacentral:rRNA from 1 species